GAAAAUAAAAUUCUACACCAAUAUGAUGAAUAUAGCUGCAAAAAUCCUCAACUAAAUAUCAGCAAGCUGAAUUCAACAAUACAUU